UUGCGUAGCGUCGUUAGGUGAACUUGGCGAAACUGAGGUUGCGGAAUUGGGGGCGCGGACAGGACGUCCGCGCCAGCCCUCACCGGGCCAGGACGGUGAGUUGAGGGCGGCCCAAUUCCGCCCGAAGUGAGCCGUAGUUCACCCGACGCGAAGCAU
ncrna:Pelotomaculum thermopropionicum SI TwoGGAY RNA